rnacentral:rRNA from 1 species
GGAGGGUGCAAGCGUUGUUCGGAAUUACUGGGCGUAAAGCGCGCGUAGGCGGUCUCUUAUGUCAGGGUGUGAAAGCCCUGGGGCCCAACCCAGGAAGUGCGCCUGAAACUGAAAGACUUGAGUACGAGAGAGGAGGGCGGAAUUCCUAGUGUAGAGGUGAAAUUCGUAGAUAUUAGGAGGAACACCAGUGGCGAAAGCGGCUCUCUGGAUCGAUACUGACGCUAAGGCGCGAAAGCGUGGGGAGCAAACAGGAUUAGAUACCCUGGUAGUCCACGCCGUAAACGAUGGAUACUAGUCGCUGUGAGCUUAUAAACUUGCGGUGACGCAGCUAACGCAUUAAGUAUCCCGCCUGGGGAGUACGGCCGCAAGGUUA